UUCGAUGCAACGCGAAGAACUACCUGGGCUUGACAUCCCUCGGAAUCCCCUGGAACAGGGAGUGCCUUCGGGAGCCAGGAGACAGGUGCUGCAUGGCUGUCGUCAGCUCGUGUCGUGAGAUGUUGGGUUAAGUCCCGCAACGAGCGCAACCCUUGUCUUUAAUUGCCAUCAUUCAGUUGGGCACUUUAAAGAGACUGCCGGUGAUAAAUCGGAGGAAGGUGGGGACGACGUCAAAUCAUCAUGCCCUUUAUGUCCUGGGCUACACACGUACUACAAUGGCCGUUACAACGGGAAGCGAAGGAGCAAUCCGGAGCAAAUCCCUUAAAGGCGGUCCCAGUUCAGAUUGUGGGCUGAAACUCGCCCACAUGAAGGCGGAAUUGCUAGUAAUUGCAGAUUAGCAUGCUGCAGUGAAUACGUUCCCGGGCCUU
rnacentral:rRNA from 1 species